GGUGGGUUGGUUCAGUGAUUAGAGCUUACUUCUCGUAACCGAAAGGUCGCGGGAUCGAAUCCCGCUAGAGGCUG
rnacentral:tRNA from 1 species